UACGGAGGUGGCAAGCGUUGCUCGGAAUCACUGGGCGUAAAGGGCGCGUAGGCGGGGAGGUAAGUCGGGUGUGAAAUCCCUCGGCCCAACCGAGGAACUGCGCCCGAGACUGCUUCUCUUGAGUCCCGGAGAGGAAGAUGGAAUUCCCGGUGUAGCGGUGAAAUGCGUAGAUAUCUGGAGGAACACCGGUGGCGAAGGCGACAUCCUGGACCGGUAUUGACGCUGAGGCGCGAAAGCCAGGGGAGCAAACGGG
rnacentral:rRNA from 1 species